rnacentral:rRNA from 1 species
AUUGAACGCUAGCGGGAUGCUUUACACAUGCAAGUCGAACGGCAGCGCGGACUUCGGUCUGGCGGCGCGUGGCGAACGGGUGAGUAAUGUAUCGGAACGUGCCCAGUAGCGGGGGAUAACUACGCGAAAGCGUAGCUAAUACAGCAUACGCCAUACGGGGGAAAGCAAGGGAUCGUAAGACCUUGAACUAUUGGCGCGGCCGAUAUCGGAUUAGCUAGUUGGUGUGGUAACGGCUCACCAAGGCGACGAACCGUAGCUGGCUUGAGAGGCCGACCAGCCACACUGGGACUGAGACACGGUCCAGACUCCUACGGGAGGCAGCAGUGGGGAAUUUUGGACAAUGGGGGCAACCCUGAUCCAGCCAUCCCGCGUGUGCGAUGAAGGCCUUCGGGUUGUAAAGCACUUUUGUCAGGAAAGAAACGUCGCGGGCUAAUACCCCGUGGAACUGACGGUACCUGCAGAAUAAGCACCGGCUAACUACGUG